GGCCCUGAACAGCUGUUAUUCAUGGACCCGAAGCGGCCUCCGGAGCCGUGUGCGCAGGUUCGAAUCCUGCCGGGGGCA
rnacentral:tRNA from 3 species